UGUGAGCUCGAUGAGUAGGGCGGGACACGUGGUAUCCUGUCUGAAUAUGGGGGGACCAUCCUCCAAGGCUAAAUACUCCUGACUGACCGAUAGUGAACCAGUACCGUGAGGGAAAGGCGAAAAGAACCCCGGCGAGGGGAGUGAAAAAGAACCUGAAACCGUGUACGUACAAGCAGUGGGAGCACGCUUAGGCGUGUGACUGCGUACCUUUUGUAUAAUGGGUCAGCGACUUAUAUUCUGUAGCAAGGUUAACCGAAUAGGGGAGCCGAAGGGAAACCGAGUCUUAACUGGGCGUUAAGUUGCAGGGUAUAGACCCGAAACCCGGUGAUCUAGCCAUGGGCAGGUUGAAGGUUGGGUAACACUAACUGGAGGACCGAACCGACUAAUGUUGAAAAAUUAGCGGAUGACUUGUGGCUGGGGGUGAAAGGCCAAUCAAACCGGGAGAUAGCUGGUUCUCCCCGAAAGCUAUUUAGGUAGCGCCUCGUGAAUUCAUCUCCGGGGGUAGAGCACUGUUUCGGCAAGGGGGUCAUCCCGACUUACCAACCCGAUGCAAACUGCGAAUACCGGAGAAUGUUAUCACGGGAGACACACGGCGGGUGCUAACGUCCGUCGUGAAGAGGGAAACAACCCAGACCGCCAGCUAAGGUCCCAAAGUCAUGGUUAAGUGGGAAACGAUGUGGGAAGGCCCAGACAGCCAGGAUGUUGGCUUAGAAGCAGCCAUCAUUUAAAGAAAGCGUAAUAGCUCACUGGUCGAGUCGGCCUGCGCGGAAGAUGUAACGGGGCUAAACCAUGCACCGAAGCUGCGGCAGCGACGCUGAUGCGUUGUUGGGUAGGGGAGCGUUCUGUAAGCCUGCGAAGGUGUGCUGUGAGGCAUGCUGGAGGUAUCAGAAGUGCGAAUGCUGACAUAAGUAACGAUAAAGCGGGUGAAAAGCCCGCUCGCCGGAAGACCAAGGGUUCCUGUCCAACGUUAAUCGGGGCAGGGUGAGUCGACCCCUAAGGCGAGGCCGAAAGGCGUAGUCGAUGGGAAACAGGUUAAUAUUCCUGUACUUGGUGUUACUGCGAAGGGGGGACGGAGAAGGCUAUGUUGGCCGGGCGACGGUUGUCCCGGUUUAAGCGUGUAGGCUGGUUUUCCAGGCAAAUCCGGAAAAUCAAGGCUGAGGCGUGAUGACGAGGCACUACGGUGCUGAAGCAACAAAUGCCCUGCUUCCAGGAAAAGCCUCUAAGCAUCAGGUAACAUCAAAUCGUACCCCAAACCGACACAGGUGGUCAGGUAGAGAAUACCAAGGCGCUUGAGAGAACUCGGGUGAAGGAACUAGGCAAAAUGGUGCCGUAACUUCGGGAGAAGGCACGCUGAUAUGUAGGUGAAGUCCCUUGCGGAUGGAGCUGAAAUCAGUCGAAGAUACCAGCUGGCUGCAACUGUUUAUUAAAAACACAGCACUGUGCAAACACGAAAGUGGACGUAUACGGUGUGACGCCUGCCCGGUGCCGGAAGGUUAAUUGAUGGGGUCAGCGCAAGCGAAGCUCUUGAUCGAAGCCCCGGUAAACGGCGGCCGUAACUAUAACGGUCCUAAGGUAGCGAAAUUCCUUGUCGGGUAAGUUCCGACCUGCACGAAUGGCGUAAUGAUGGCCAGGCUGUCUCCACCCGAGACUCAGUGAAAUUGAACUCGCUGUGAAGAUGCAGUGUACCCGCGGCAAGACGGAAAGACCCCGUGAACCUUUACUAUAGCUUGACACUGAACAUUGAGCCUUGAUGUGUAGGAUAGGUGGGAGGCUUGGAAGUGUGGACGCCAGUCUGCAUGGAGCCGACCUUGAAAUACCACCCUUUAAUGUUUGAUGUUCUAACGUUGACCCGUAAUCCGGGUUGCGGACAGUGUCUGGUGGGUAGUUUGACUGGGGCGGUCUCCUCCUAAAGAGUAACGGAGGAGCACGAAGGUUGGCUAAUCCUGGUCGGACAUCAGGAGGUUAGUGCAAUGGCAUAAGCCAGCUUGACUGCGAGCGUGACGGCGCGAGCAGGUGCGAAAGCAGGUCAUAGUGAUCCGGUGGUUCUGAAUGGAAGGGCCAUCGCUCAACGGAUAAAAGGUACUCCGGGGAUAACAGGCUGAUACCGCCCAAGAGUUCAUAUCGACGGCGGUGUUUGGCACCUCGAUGUCGGCUCAUCACAUCCUGGGGCUGAAGUAGGUCCCAAGGGUAUGGCUGUUCGCCAUUUAAAGUGGUACGCGAGCUGGGUUUAGAACGUCGUGAGACAGUUCGGUCCCUAUCUGCCGUGGGCGCUGGAGAACUGAGGGGGGCUGCUCCUAGUACGAGAGGACCGGAGUGGACGCAUCACUGGUGUUCGGGUUGUCAUGCCAAUGGCACUGCCCGGUAGCUAAAUGCGGAAGAGAUAAGUGCUGAAAGCAUCUAAGCACGAAACUUGCCCCGAGAUGAGUUCUCCCUGACUCCUUGAGAGUCCUGAAGGAACGUUGAAGACGACGACGUUGAUAGGCCGGGUGUGUAAGCGCAGCGAUGCGUUGAGCUAACCGGUACUAAUGAACCGUGAGGCUUAACCUUACAACGCCGAAG
rnacentral:rRNA from 1 species